rnacentral:rRNA from 1 species
CGGCGGACGGGUGAGUAACACGUGGAUAACCUACCUAUAAGACUGGGAUAACUUCGGGAAACCGGAGCUAAUACCGGAUAAUAUAUUGAACCGCAUGGUUCAAUAGUGAAAGACGGUUUUGCUGUCACUUAUAGAUGGAUCCGCGCCGCAUUAGCUAGUUGGUAAGGUAACGGCUUACCAAGGCAACGAUGCGUAGCCGACCUUAGAGGGUGAUCGGCCACACUGGAACUGAGACACGGUCCAGACUCCUACGGGAGGCAGCAGAC